GACGAACGCUGGCGGCGUGCUUAACACAUGCAAGUCGAACGGAAAGGCCCUUUCUUUGUGGGUUGCUCGAGUGGCGAACGGGUGAGUAACACGUGAGUAACCUGCCCCUCACUUUGGGGCAACUUCAGGUAACUGUGGUAAAUACUGGAUAGGAGCUCCUGCUGCAUGGUGGGGGUGGGUAAGCUUCGGCGGUUGGGGAUGGACCCGCGGCUUAUCAGGUUGUGGGGGGGGUAGUGGCUUACAACGGCUGUGACGGGUAGCCGGCCUGGGGGGGUGACCGGCAACAUUGGGACUGGGAUCCGGCCCGGACUCCUACGGGAGGCAGCAGUGGGGAAUAUUGCACAAUGGGCGGAAGCCUGAUGCAGCAACGCCGCGUGCGGGAUGACGGCCUUCGGGUGGUAACCCGCUUUCGCCUGUGACGAAGCGUGAGUGACGGUAAUGGGUGAAGAAGCACCGGCUAACUACGUG
rnacentral:rRNA from 1 species